UACGAAGGUGGCUAGCGUUGCUCGGAAUCACUGGGCGUAAAGGGUGCGUAGGCGGGUCUUUAAGUCAGGGGUGAAAUCCUGGAGCUCAACUCCAGAACUGCCUUUGAUACUGAAGAUCUUGAGUUCGGGAGAGGUGAGUGGAACUGCGAGUGUAGAGGUGAAAUUCGUAGAUAUUCGCAAGAACACCAGUGGCGAAGGCGGCUCACUGGCCCGAUACUGACGCUGAGGCACGAAAGCCAGGGGAGCAAACGGG
rnacentral:rRNA from 1 species